rnacentral:SRP_RNA from 1 species
GCCGGGCGUGGUGGUGUGUGCCUGUAAUCCCAGCUACUUGGGAGGCUGAGGCAGGAGAAUAGCUUGAACCCGGGAGGCAGAGAUUGCAGUGAGCCGAGAUCGUGCCACUGCACUCCAGCCUGGGUGACAGAGCGAGACUCCGUCUCAA